UACAUCUGAAAAUCACCUGUGACUCUGGUGAUGGCCAUGGGUGAGAUUUAGUGUCCAGAGUGAGGAGGGCCUCACCUCACUGCCUACUUUCCAUUGUGGGGUGGUGGAACCCAGGCCCAUACAUGC
ensembl:snoRNA